rnacentral:rRNA from 1 species
AUUGAACGCUGGCGGCAUGCCUUACACAUGCAAGUCGAGCGGCAGCGCGGGGGCAACCCUGGCGGCGAGCGGCGAACGGGUGAGUAAUGCAUCGGAACGUGUCCUCUUGUGGGGGAUAACCAGUCGAAAGACUGGCUAAUACCGCAUGAGAUCGAAAGAUGAAAGCGGGGGACCGCAAGGCCUCGCGCGAGAGGAGCGGCCGAUGCCGGAUUAGCUAGUUGGCGGGGUAAUGGCCCACCAAGGCGACGAUCCGUAGCUGGUCUGAGGGGACGACCAGCCACACUGGGACUGAGACACGGCCCAGACUCCUACGGGAGGCAGCAGUGGGGAAUUUUGGACAAUGGGCGCAAGCCUGAUCCAGCCAUGCCGCGUGUGUGAAGAAGGCCUUCGGGUUGUAAAGCACUUUCGGCCGGAACGAAAUCGCGCGAUCUAACAAGUCGCGUGGAUGACGGUACCGGAAGAAGAAGCACCGGCUAACUACGUGCCAGCCGCCGCGGUAACAC